UUUUCAUCCUACUACUUUAAAUUUUAAAAAAUCAUUCCAAUCACUUAGAAAUCAAUUUUAAAAUUACCUAAAACUUUGUAUAUAGCAUUUGACAUCUUCACUAAAGAUCCACUAAAACUAUUUUACCAUAAUUUAAUCCACUGUGGAAAACUGUGGAAUGUUAAUUUGCACUCAUUUGCAUGCUGUUGAUUGCUAUAGCCUUAUGAUAACGCAGCUCUAACAUUUAUUUGAUGUCCAGCAACUAUUAGACGUUAGCUGAAAAACGUUUAAUUAGGCAAGCUGUAGCAUAUAAUAUUUUGUGUAUGUUAAGCACAAGCUGUAAUUUUAUUUUCUGGACAUGAGUAUUAUUUAUUUCACUGUCCUUGGGAGUGAUUGGACUGUUUAUGUAGCAGAAAAUAAAUUAUAUUUACCAUAGAAUUUAGCCCUGCUGCAUUUUAGCUCUUAUGUUGUAGAUGCACUAAUUAGAUGGUUUACUAAUGGUUAAAUCCUUUGGGGGAAGUGUAGCAAGUUCUCUUUUAGCCUGUUCUGAGAAGAAAGUGCACGAGUUUUAUUGCAUAUGGUUUUUCUUGACUUUUUUUUUGCGUUGAGGAGUGGUUCAUGUGUAGGAACUGAGAUUGAAUCUUAAGCAUCCCUGUUCAUAUUCCAUGGUCUGGUAUGCAGUAACCACACUGCUAUAAUAUGUUGCUUCUGAUAUGCCUAGGUGACCUAUGAGUGUUUACAGAACUACUUUGCGUGUCUGUCUUGAAUUUGUCUAGGUACAAUAAAAAGGGCAACGGUUGCUUCAGAUUACUCUUUCAGUGAUACUGUACCUAGAUUUGAAUUUGUACUUGUUUUUUGUAAAACAGAGUUGGGGGAAGAGGGAAAGGUGCUCAAAACCCAAUAAAUGUGUAUGCAAGAGGGCAUGUGAUUUACUGUGGGUUGCCAAGUGCUUGCUUACCAAGAGUAUGAAAUAUGACAGUCCUUUAAAUAUGAAAAAAAUGAACUGCAGCUUAUUUGCAUGUACAGUGGCAUGUCCUUGCUGCCUUAUGAUCCAGAGGCCAAAUUACAGCAUAUCUGCACUGCAGAUUUACUGUCAGGUAGCAUACUCAAACAUGCCAUACAACAGGGGUAGGCAACAGACAUUUUGUUUGACACGUGCACCAUGGGGAGGUGGCUGGGGCUGCACUGCCACAACAAGUAUCGGGCCUCUCGCAGUUCCCCUGCUGUCUACCCCUGGUCUUAUAAGUUGAGGUUGCAGGUGUUUUUUGGCACUCUGCCCAAAAACGUUGCUGAUUAUUGCCAUGCAACCUCUUCUAGGGUGCUUCCUGAAUUGGAAGCAGGAGUAGAUGUAUUUGCAUAGUGCUACUUUGGGCUAAUAAGCACUGUCUCAGUAUACGUGUAUUUGGAACUGCCUUGUUUAUAUAAUGUUGAAUGUUAGAAGUCAUCAAGUCUAAAAGUUGCAUCUGGAAGAGUAACCCAAACCUUUUGUGGCAUAAAAGGGUACUGAAGGCACUGCCUGACAUCACUGCACAGCCACUGGCGGGAAUAUUUGAACGCUCGUGGCACACGGGCCAAGUCCCGGAGGACUGGAAAAGGGCCAGUGUGGUCCCCAUUUUCAAGAAGGGGAGGAAGGAGGACCCAGGCAACUAUAGGCCAGUCAGUCUCACCUCCAUCCUUGGCAAAGUCUUUGAAAAAAUUAUCAAGGCUCACAUAUGCGAGAGCCUGGCAGGACAAAUUAUGCUGAGGGGAAACCAGCACGGGUUCGUGGCAGGCAGAUCGUGCCUGACUAAUCUAGUCUCUUUUUAUGACCAGGUUACGAAACGCCUGGACACAGGAGGAGGGGUGGAUGUCAUAUACUUAGACUUCAGGAAGGCCUUUGAUACGGUAUCCCACCCCAUACUGGUGAACAAAUUAAGAGGCUGUGACUUGGAUGAUUACACAGUCUGGUGGGUGGCGAAUUGGCUAGAGGGUCGCACCCAGAGAGUCGUGGUGGAUGGGUCGGCUUCGACCUGGAAGGGUGUGGGCAGUGGGGUCCCGCAGGGCUCGGUCCUUGGACCGAUACUCUUUAAUGUCUUCAUCGACGACUUGGACGAGGGAGUGAAGUGUACUCUGUCCAAGUUUGCGGAUGACACAAAGCUAUGGGGAGAAGUGGACACGCCGGAGGGCAGGGAACAGCUGCAAGCAGACCUGGACAGGUUGGACAAGUGGGCAGAAAACAACAGAAUGCAGUUCAACAAGGAGAAAUGCAAAGUGCUGCACCUAGGGAGGAAAAAUGUCCAGCACACCUACUGCCUAGGAAAUGACCUGCUGGGUGGCACGGAAGUGGAAAGGGAUCUUGGAGUCCUAGUGGACUCCUAUAUGAACAUGAGUCGGCAGUGUGACGAAGCCAUCAGAAAAGCUAAUGGCACUUUAUCAUGCAUCAGCAGAUGCAUGACGAAUAGAUCCAAAGAGGUGAUACUUCCCCUCUAUCGGGCGCUGGUCAGACUGCAGUUGGAGUACUGUGUGCAAUUCUGGGUGCCGCAAUUCAAGAGGGACCCCUGGGGGUUACAAGAAAUAAUGGCCAUAAGCUAGCAGAGAGCAGAUUUAGACUGGACAGUAGGAAGAACCUCUUCACAGUUCGAGUGGCCAAGGUCUGGAACGGGCUCCCAAGGGAGGUGGUGCUCUCCCCUACCCUGGGGGUCUUCAAGAGGAGGUUGGAUAUGCAUCUAGCUGGGGUCAUCUAGACCCAGCACUCUUUCCUGCCUAUGCAGGGGGUCAGACUCGAUGAUCUAUUGAGGUCCCUUCCGACCCUAACACCUAUGAAUCUAUGAAAUGGUCUAUUCUCUUAAUAAAUGUGGUUCUCUAGUAGAUCUUUUAUUUAUCUAUUUUUAAGUACAAAAUUAAUUUUUUGCAAUUUUUUUCAUAAUUUGUUCAAUAAAUCACAGAUGAGGGCUUUUUCCUAGGGGUGUGUGAAGUGGGCCGUAUUCGAUUCGUAUUUGGCCUGAACUGGGGACAGUGAUUCGAUUCGUUGAUUCAGAUCACUGUCCCUGAUUCAGUUAGGCCAAAUCUGAAGAUUCAAUGCUGAUUUGGAGAUGGAAAACUUCUAAAGCUAUGUAUACAUACCUUGAGGUAGCAGGCAUGGCUCAUGAUCGCUGUGAUCCUGGGGUGCGUGGAGCAUCCCACAGGAGUGCGGGGGUGGCUCUCUAUGUGCUCAGUGGCAAACCCGGAAGCGGACAGGAAGUACUUCUAUGUACUAUGAGUACUUCAAAGUACUCUACUUAGUACUAAGUACUCUACUAGAGUACUUCUAAGUACUCUACUACUAUGUUAACUCUAUAGCUUGAUGUAGAGCCCAGUACUGAGGAAAUCUUGUAAAAUUGAAAACAUACUUUUAAAGCUCAUUAAGGGCACAGGCACACGAAUAGGUUACCAGAAGGUGCAAGUUGCUCUUGAUUUAGUUGUCAUUUACAGUGAGGUAAGACUAUGCAUGGAAACAAUUAGCAAGUUCACACACUGAAAAUCUCCCUUUAUUGUUUACCUCAUAGUAAAUUGUUCAUAUGCCCAGGCCCUUAAAGCUGAUUCUUCCUUUUAAUGAGUAUAGUACUUCCAUCCUACUGGUGCAUCCUACCUAUUGUAGGCAAUGGAAUCACUCUGUAGGUGUCUGAAGUUUGUUUCAGUUUGUGUAAUUAUCUAGGGUUAAAAACAGAUUAAGUCGGAAUAUGACUCCCAUCAAAACAGGCACAGCCCAGCUCUUUACACAUCAGGCUUAAAUAGAUGGGUGCUUAGUUCGGGACAAUGAACUUGUCCCUCUGUAAGGUUUGGGGUUCUGUGCAAGAGAAUAUCCUCAAAUGCGAAUUGCCCGUUGUCUAUUUUUAGCCUUGAUGUGGCAAUGGUGUAAAUUAUUUAACUACAGCUUACUGUUGUUGCAGUACAUGGAAGCCCUAGCACUGGAUGGAAGGUGUUGUUAACCACGAUUACUGUGCACUGAACUCCAAGAUAAAUCAUCUAGUAAUAAGUACAUUAGCCGCUAUGAUGGUUUGUGUUUUUAAUCAGUCUAUUUCUUUUAGCCCUAUAUAUUUUAUCUUUUUUGUUUUCUGCACUUCAUAAACUUGGUCCAUUAGCUUUUAGGAGGCUUCCUUUGUGGAUGUUGCCUUUUAAACUCUCCUCUGCAAUUUAAUAUAGUUAGAGUAAACUCCCUUACACCAUAUCUGUUUAUUUUGCAACCAAGUACAAUAGAUUCACAUAAAUGGUUUUGGGGAGAGUAUUUUCUGUUCACAAAGAACAAAUGGCCAAGUUCUGGCUUUUGUCAUGGCUGCUGUUAUAGUAGGGCUACCAUAUUUCCAGUUCCAAAAAGAGGAGACUUGUUAGGGGGACACCUCACUCUCUACCUACACCCCCCUGCCCUGUCAGUGCCCCUCACUUCUAACCUGCAGGUCUCUGUCCCUGCCGUUGCCUUCACUUUUAACCUGCAGCCCCCUGGCUCUGCCAGUACCCCUCACUCCCAACCCACAGUCCCUCACAACCCCCCACCCCUCAGCUAUGCUGGUGCCUCUCAGUUUCAACCUGCAGGCCCCCCCCCCCCCCUCCCCCUAAUCCCUGCUGUUGACCCUCACUCCUGACCCACAGACCCCUGGCCUUGCUGGUGCCCCUCAUGUCUGAUCCACAGCUCCCCAUCCCUACCAGUGCCCCUUACUCCUGACCUGCAGCCCCCUGCUCCCCCCGGCCCUGCAGGAAGGGGCCCCUAGCUUCCCCCAUCCCAGCCGGCCCCGAGCAUAGUGACUCGUGAUUUGUGGAGACAGCAGUGGAGUGACUCUGGGCAAUGUCUCCUGGGUGGCCACUCACCGCGAGUAUUGGCACCAGCCCUGCUACUGCCGGCCCAGCUGCAGAUCUCCCUGCUGCCCUCAAAGGGCCCCCCUGGCUCCUUCCCUGGCUGAAGGGGCAGGUACACAUGCCCCAUCCCUCUUCCCUGCCACAACCCCAGUGCCCGGAUAGCUUCCCUUAACACCUGCAGGCACUACCUCCCCUCACACACCCAUCCACUCCACACAGCCCCCUGCCACACGCGUGCACACACACACUGUCUCUUCCCCUGUACAGACUUGCCUGCUCAUACAACCCUGCUGCUGCAUGCCAUCUAGCUGCUGCAGCUGUUCCUAUGACCCUGCAUGGCUGCAUGUCAGCUGUCUGUGCGUGUAUACAGGAGCAGGUGAAUGUGCAUGUGCAGGCACACGUGCACCCACUGCCUCCAGCCACUGUCUCCCAACUCCUGCCAGCAGAGUAGAGCAAAAUCUUGUACAUUGGUUCAUAUUUUAAAAAACUGCCCAUGUGGUGAUUGGAGGACAUGUCUGGGAAAACCUGCAUGUAUGGUAACCCUAGUUAUAACUACUCCAUCCUUCCCAUUCCUACCUAAAUCACCUUUCUCUCAUUUUACUCCUUCUGAUUGACAGGUCUUUUCCAUGCAGCUGCUCAUAAGUGUCCCUUUCUGAAACCUGACUCUUUGCUUCCUCUCAGCAGACUCCUCUCCUUUGCUUCAACUUCCCUGUUAUCUUACAUAUUUUUCUCUUCAAACCUGAGAGGUCUCGCACGACUUUGACCUUUGGACAUAUCUUUAUUGUCUUUUUUUUUUUUUUUCCUCUGGAUCCUAUGGGAACCCUUUCUGCCCUCUGCCUCUUUGAAUCAAUAGUGAAUGUAGCCUAUGCUUUUGGUUGCCUGUGUAGGCACACUUUCAGUUUUGGAGUUAGUCCCAGGGGCUUGCUGGAUAUGGUCACUUCGGGCGCCUAUACAUGUGCAGCGAGGCUGCUGCCAUGCUGUAAGUACGAUUAAUCGAGUCUCCUGGAGCGUGAUGAUUACUGUGCUCCAGCAGACUCCAGCAUCACAUUCAUCAGGGUUACCAUAUUUCCAGGUCCAAAAAAGAGGACACCUACCCUGGGGGGAGCGGGGGGUGGGGUGUGUGGAAUAUGAUGCGGGAGAGGGGGGCGGGCAGCAGUGCCCUUUCUCUGCCUAUUCUGUUGCAGGGUGCCCCUCACUCCCAACCUGCAGCCUCCUGGCACUGUCAGUGCCCUGUACACCCAACCCACAGACACUCAUCCUGUCCCCCAUGCCCCUCACUCCUGAUCUGCAGCCCCCUGCCCUGCCCCCCAGCCUUGCUAGUGUCCCGCACUCCAGACCCACAGCCUCUGCCCCCCCAGCCCUGUUGGUGCCCUGCACUCCCAGCUUUCAGACCCCUGCCCCCCCCAGCCCUGCUGCUUUCUCACUUUCUCUCUCUCUGGCUUUCCUGAGCCAGCGUGGGGAGUACGGGACCACUGACCAACAAUCACCUUGCCCGCUGCUCUGAGCCCGAAGCAGCUAGUCUGGGACAGCAGAAAGCCCAGAUGUUUGCUCUUUUUUUAAAAAAACAUCUGGGCACAGCAGAGGGGUCCAAAAAAAAGGACUUGUUCAGGAAAACCUGGACGUAUGGUAACCCAAACAUGUAUCAGUGUCCCCACACUGAAAAAUGGCUGUGGGGGCACUUUAACUAAAGCUCAUUUGACAGGGACACUGGUGCAAGUGAUGCUCUGGGUGCUCUAAUUAGAGUGGCUCUCAGCUGCUCUAAUUAAAGUGCCCCUUCCCCCCAUUCCUGGAGCAAGUCUAUAAACUCCCUGUGGUCCCAGUUGUGCAUGAAUUGUUAGAGGAAAUGAGGCUAGAUGGAAUAAAUGUCACUAUAAUGGCUCCUAAUGACCAGGCCAACCUGGGCUUGUUAAAAAUGCUUUUACUUUCUACAAAUCCCUUCAUAUUCUUUUCCAGGUGCUGGCUUCUAGAACUUUCUGGUUCUGCAGAAAAGAUUAUUGCUUGUGAAGAAAGGAGUCUCUGAAAACGUGCUUUCUCCAAGUAUUCUCAUAUCUUACUUCAGGGUUUGAAUGUGGGUGUGAAUCGUUCAAGAGAAGAAGCCUUGAUGACAGUACCUAAUCAUCUAUAGCCCUUAUUGCUUGUGACAUCUCUUUACUGCUAGUGAAGCACCAAGGAAAUACUGUAGCUCAGAAAUGGAGUGGAUAGGACACUGAAGUCAAGCAACCUUAAAUGUGGACACUGCUCCGUUGUAAGGCUCUUUAGAUGUGAUUCAACUUUCUAUAGGAAAACGCAUAAAUCUGGAGAAAUCCUAAUGCUGAAUAAUGAAAUGUACAAGAAGACAUUGUAAAUAUUUAUGGGAAACACAGUGAAGUUGCUUUAAAUUUUUUGUCUAUAAAUAUGUGUAGUUUUUCCGUGUUUUUAUUCUUUACUUGUGGAUUAUGCAAGGUACUUAAUUGCUCUUAUCAAUUUACUGUAAAGUUUUAAUGGGGCUUUUACUUUUUCUGGUUUUUUUUUAAGCGUUCCAUGUGAAUGACUGCCUACUAGUAGAUAUUUUUGUAGUGUGCGUGUAAUAAUUUUUAAACGUAUGUAAAAAUAUUAAUUGAAUGCAUCAAAGGCUGUAUUUGAGACCCCACAACUGGAAAUGGGAGGCAUGCUAGAGAAGUUUGUGAAGUAUCCUUUUUAUUGUCUGUUUCCAUGUUUGAUUUUUAGCUCAAGUUGUUUGCAAGCUACUCUGCAUAUGUUUUGAAAUAGAAAUCCUUUCUCUGUUACUGGGAAAAUGUAGCUCUUUAUUAGUUUGAUAGGCUGUGCUGUAACAGCAUUUUUUUAAACAUUUCCAAAUGACCUGUGACACUUUGGAUCAUCAGUGGGGGGAGCAUUACAUAACUGAUUGCAGUGGAAUGUAAAUAUAAUGUUCAUCAUAAUAUUUUAAAUUAUCCUAGAAAGCUAUUAUAAAGAGUAGGCUUAGAAGAUAUUCUUUCCAGCAUCUGUACUGUGUAAGAUAACAUGCUUUAUCUGAAAGAAAGCAAAGCUUGCAAAUUCAGGGUGAAAUAAAUCUUUUGGGCCCACAAAAAAACUCUAUGCACCACUUAACCUGCUAGCUGUGUAAACUGUGCAUGAUUGGGGGCCUUUUCUUUGGAGUGAAUUACCCCAACAAUAUCAAAUAUCUUUUGUGAGACGAUAAAUAAAAUAAAUAACUAGAGAAUAAGUGUUAAAAAAUUAAACUCCCUGAGAUUUGUGUAAGAAUUAAAUCUGCAUUUGGAAAACUUACUUUUUCACAUGGAAACUUGUACAUUUGCAUAGCUAAACCCUUUCUCCUUUUGUGAAAUUUGACACUAAGAAGUGGAAGACUUUUUUCUGUGUAUGUUGAAGCUACUUACUAUCUUUCAUUGUACCUAGCCUAAUCUAUAUAGACAAGUAUGAUCUAAGUAAUUAUAUAUAUAAUAUAGGUUAAGUCUAGUAAAAGCUGUACUACUUCCUGCAAAUAAAUAUAGUGUGCAUAUAUAUUAAUGGCAGAUAGAAGGAUAGAAGUUAGCUGGCAGCAAGGCAGGUGUCUCCUACUAGAAAUAACAGAGAACUUUCCUUUGGUUAUUGGAAUACUUUUGAUGUCUGCAUCAAUAAGUAACCAAGCUCCUUCCUUAUUACUAUUCAUAGGUUUCAUUUCUAUAUAGAGGGUUGGUAUUUUGCAGGCAAGUUUGUUUUGUUUUUGUCUGUGCAGGGUGGGAGCUUCUAAUGCAACGUGCUGCUCUUGUGCUUUGUCUUUAGCUAAUUUCAAUGACAUGUUGAGUGCUCUGGAAGCAAGCCAUAUAACUAGAUUUCAUUAAAAAAAAAAAAGAAUAGGGUGUUAAAUUAUCAAAAACUACUUGCCUGAAGCUUUUAGUGUCAAAACCCUUUUUGUCUGUAUUUUGUUAAGCCAGUAAUCUGCAUUUAAAGUCUGUAUUUAGGGAUGAUUAAUAAUGAUUCUGAGAUGAGCCCCAAAGCAGUACUAAGAACAGUUCAUCUACUGAGACCUAGUAAAACUGGUCCUAGAGAUACUUUUGUUGGAGGGGAAAGUUAAAAUAGCAGUAGGGAAACCACCUCACAGUAUAUUUAUUCAGCAGUUCAGGCUUUUGCUUCAGAUGCCCCUUUUCUGCAUUGGGCCCAGAGCCUAAACUAAAGAUUACUUUUUUAGUAAUGCUGAAUUGAGGCAGUCCAGCCUGUAUCCUUGGUUAUUUAAGGCAGAUUUCAGAAUACUGUUGUUUUCUUGAUGUGCUUUGGAAAGCAGAGUCUUACCAUGAGAAUUCAAACUACUAUAGUUUUUGAACUUGGACCUGGUAGAAGAAAUGUGGUUAUAUAAAGGAAAAGUUAACCUACAUGAUUACUGAGCCACAAAGCCACUCUUUUUCACUGGGAAAUAUAGCAGGUUCUCAUCCUCAAUAUUUUUGCAGCCAGAAGGAGAGGGUGUUUUUACUUUAGUUUUUAAUCUCUCUAAACUUUCAGAGGUGCUGUAAAAUUCUUUAAAGCUAAACUUUUUAUGUAUAGUAGGUAUUUUUAUAGAUUGUCUUUGAAUAUAUUGUGAUAAGAAGGGUUUACAGGAUGGAUAAGUAAGUUAAAAAAAGUAUACAACUUUAAAUUGUAUGUUGAUACUUGAAAAUGAAAAGAAUGUGAAACUGUCAUUUUUACUUUAGCUAACAAAUAACUUAUUGACUGCAUCUGGCCUUCCUAAUUCAGAAGUGGUUGUCAAAUGGCCGAAGAAUGUAAAAUACACCAGCCUUUCCCUCUAAAUUCUGUAAAAUUUACUUAUUGCUGUCUGAUAAUUAUAAAAAUAUCCUCAUCUUUUUUGAGUGUUAUACAAUUGAAUAUCAUCCAUAAGCAAGAACUAAUUACAACCUUGUAUGUUUUGCUCUUUAUGCCUUUUAUUACAUUUUAACUGUUAUAAUGCACUUGCUAGUUCCAGUGCAGUCCUUGGAUGGAAUUAAAUUAUUCUUUCUUAUAUGGUUGGCCUUCAGCUUAAUCUCAUGUUAUCUUUGACCCAAAUAAUAAAAAUCUGAUAUUAGAACCUCAA